rnacentral:rRNA from 1 species
GUGUCAGCCGCCGCGGUAACACGUAGGAUCCGAGCGUUAUCCGAAUUUACUGGGCGUAAAGCGCGUGUAGGCGGUUUAGUAAGUUGGAUGUGAAAGCUCCUGGCUCAACUGGGAGAGGCCGUUCAAAACUACUAAACUAGAGGACGGUAGAGGGAGGUGGAAUUCCCGGUGUAGUAGUGAAAUGCGUAGAUAUCGGGAGGAACACCAGUGGCGAAGGCGGCCUCCUGGACCGUUCCUGACGCUCAGACGCGAAAGCUAGGGGAGCGAACGGGAUUAGAAACCCUGGUAGUCC